rnacentral:lncRNA from 1 species
AUGGGGCCCUUGGUGACUGGCGACCCCAUGAGCACCCACCCUCCAGCCUGGGGCGGGAUGGCCCAAUCGGGCGCUGUGGGGGUCCGUUUGGAAACCGCUCUCUGCUUUGAGGAUACGCGGGGAGCUUCCCUGGAAGCUGUGAAGAGGGGCAGACACGAGGCCUCUGGCCAGCCGCGCCUCGGGUCCAGGCCUCCCUGUGUCCACAUCUGGUCUCCCGGCUUUUCACAACAGUGACCUUGACAGCGCCCAGAGUCCGCUGCUUCCGUCCAGUCCGCUCUUCCCCUACGUGGCCAAGAGGACGCAGCACUGGCGGCUUCAGGAGGUGGCUGUGAGCGCGGGGCUGGGGCCAAGAGCAGAGGACCAGAGAGGAGUCUCCAAGCCACCACCGGCCCCGUCACCGGCUACCGGCUAGAAGAACUUCGCCUGAGGCAGGUCUCCUCUGUGCCCAGGGAAGGAAGGCUGGACGUGAUGGUUUCUGAAAAAAGUUACACAGAGAAAAGCCCUUCCCCCAUAAAGGCAGAAUCCUGUCCUCUUGGAACAGUGAAUCCCCAGCAGAGGACCUCAGCUCCCAAGCUCCAUUCAGCCUGGGCUCCCUGGAACCUGCUACCCUGCCCAGGAGCUGUCAACACCUGGAGUGCAGUGCAGGAAGAAUGCAGGGGCGCUUGAUGGGGAGGUGAGUGAGUGCAGAUGGGGUUCCUGGAACUCCUUGGGCCCUUGGGGUAGCUCCCACUCAGGCUGUCCUGCAGGUCCUCACAAGGCCCACUACUGAGCAGGAAGAAUGUCCCCAGGAGAGGCAAGAGGUGGGGCAAGGGCGAGUAUGGGGUCCCUUGCAUUUGCGGCAAAAUGGAGAGGGAGAUGAGAGGCAAGGAGUACUGGCCCUCACAUGGAAACCUAUAGCACACUGCCCAAAGGGAAUGGGAAGGGAAACACAGCCACGCACGUCCACAGAAGACUUGGCAGAUGGGAGAGGGUAGCUUUGAGGACUGAAAUCCCUACUUCACAG